rnacentral:rRNA from 1 species
UGAACGCUGGCGGCAGGCCUAACACAUGCAAGUCGAGCGGUAACACAGAGAGCUUGCUCUCGGGUGACGAGCGGCGGACGGGUGAGUAAUGUCUGGGAAACUGCCUGAUGGAGGGGGAUAACUACUGGAAACGGUAGCUAAUACCGCAUAACGUCGCAAGACCAAAGUGGGGGACCUUCGGGCCUCAUGCCAUCAGAUGUGCCCAGAUGGGAUUAGCUAGUAGGUGGGGUAACGGCUCACCUAGGCGACGAUCCCUAGCUGGUCUGAGAGGACGACCAGCCACACUGGAACUGAGACACGGUCCAGACUCCUACGGGAGGCAGCAGUGGGGAAUAUUGCACAAUGGGCGCAAGCCUGAUGCAGCCAUGCCGCGUGUGUGAAGAAGGCCUUCGGGUUGUAAAGCACUUUCAGCGGGGAGGAAGGCGUUAAGGUUAAUAACCUUGGCGAUUGACGUUACCCGCAGAAGAAGCACCGGCUAACUCCGUGCCAGCAGCCGCGGUAAUACGGAGGGUGCAAGCGUUAAUCGGAAUUACUGGGCGUAAAGCGCACGCAGGCGGUCUGUCAAGUCGGAUGUGAAAUCCCCGGGCUCAACCUGGGAACUGCAUUCGAAACUGGCAGGCUAGAGUCUUGUAGAGGGGGGUAGAAUUCCAGGUGUAGCGGUGAAAUGCGUAGAGAUCUGGAGGAAUACCGGUGGCGAAAGCGGCCCCCUGGACAAAGACUGACGCUCAGGUGCGAAAGCGUGGGGAGCAAACAGGAUUAGAUACCCUGGUAGUCCACGCCGUAAACGAUGUCGAUUUGGAGGUUGUGCCCUUGAGGCGUGGCUUCCGGAGCUAACGCGUUAAAUCGACCGCCUGGGGAGUACGGCCGCAAGGUUAAAACUCAAAUGAAUUGACGGGGGCCCGCACAAGCGGUGGAGCAUGUGGUUUAAUUCGAUGCAACGCGAAGAACCUUACCUGGUCUUGACAUCCACAGAACUUUCCAGAGAUGGAUUGGUGCCUUCGGGAACUGUGAGACAGGUGCUGCAUGGCUGUCGUCAGCUCGUGUUGUGAAAUGUUGGGUUAAGUCCCGCAACGAGCGCAACCCUUAUCCUUUGUUGCCAGCGGUUAGGCCGGGAACUCAAAGGAGACUGCCAGUGAUAAACUGGAGGAAGGUGGGGAUGACGUCAAGUCAUCAUGGCCCUUACGACCAGGGCUACACACGUGCUACAAUGGCAUAUACAAAGAGAAGCGACCUCGCGAGAGCAAGCGGACCUCAUAAAGUAUGUCGUAGUCCGGAUUGGAGUCUGCAACUCGACUCCAUGAAGUCGGAAUCGCUAGUAAUCGUAGAUCAGAAUGCUACGGUGAAUACGUUCCCGGGCCUUGUACACACCGCCCGUCACACCAUGGGAGUGGGUUGCAAAAGAAGUAGGUAGCUUAACCUUCGGGAGGGCGCUUACCACUUUGUGAUUCAUGACUGGGGUGA